rnacentral:rRNA from 1 species
ACGUGAUCUGAGUUCAGACCGGAGUAAUCCAGGUCGGUUUCUAUCUAUAACAGAGCUUAUUCUAGUACGAAAGGACCGAAAAAGCGUGGCCUAUACUUAAAGCAAGCCAUCACUAGUAAACUCUGCCCCCAACUUAACCCUUAACUAGUCUCCAACCUCCCUCAAGAUAAGAGA